rnacentral:rRNA from 1 species
UACGUAGGGUGCGAGCGUUAAUCGGAAUUACUGGGCGUAAAGCGUGCGCAGGCGGUUCGUUGUGUCUGAUGUGAAAGCCCCGGGCUCAACCUGGGAAUGGCAUUGGAAACUGGCGAGCUAGAGUGUGGCAGAGGGGGGUGGAAUUCCGCGUGUAGCAGUGAAAUGCGUAGAGAUGCGGAGGAACACCGAUGGCGAAGGCAGCCCCCUGGGUCGACACUGACGCUCAGGCACGAAAGCGUGGGGAGCAAACAGG